UGGGGAAUAUUGCGCAAUGGGGGCAACCCUGACGCAGCAACGCCGCGUGCGGGACGAAGGCCUUCGGGUUGUAAACCGCUUUCAGCAGGGAAGACAUCGACGGUACCUGCAGAAGAAGCCCCGGCUAACUACGUGCCAGCAGCCGCGGUAACACGUAGGGGGCGAGCGUUAUCCGGAUUCAUUGGGCGUAAAGCGCGCGCAGGCGGCCGGCUAAGCGGGACCUCUAAUCCCGGGGCUCAACCCCGGGCCGGGUCCCGAACUGGCCGGCUCGUGUCCGGUAGGGGCAGGCGGAAUUCCCGGUGUAGCGGUGGAAUGCGCAGAUAUCGGGAAGAACACCGAUGGCGAAGGCAGCCUGCUGGGCCGCGACAGACGCUGAGGCGCGAAAGCUAGGGGAGCGAACAGG
rnacentral:rRNA from 3 species